rnacentral:tRNA from 1 species
AGGGCUGUGGUGUAGUUGGUCAACACAUCGGCCUGUCACGCCGAAGAUCGCGGGUUCAAGUCCCGUCAGUCCUGCCA